GUCGCGGUCGCGCGUGUCUCCUCCUGGGGGGCCGCCCUUCCCCCCGCGCCGGGGUGGCCUCGGCUGCGGGUUGUCAAGUUUCAGCCCCGUCAGAGACGGAGCCGCGCCUGGCGGGUGUUUCGCCUCCCCGCAAGCGGGUUGUUUUGUGCGCCGCCUUUCUCCCGAGAGGGGCUCGAGGCGGCUGACAGAUCGGGAACGUAGAAAAGGCGACAAUUAGAAAGCACACAGAGUCCUUUCCAGGCCUGUGCUCGGGUGGGGGGGGGUGGUGAAGGACACAAGCGUCUCAUUUCGCUUGGAGAGGUGUCAGCUGCUGUGGAGGUUGCCCUUGGGGGACAGAAAGCCGGGAUUUCGUCCCGUGGGUUAUUGGGCCCCAAAGAGAAGCCCACACCAAAGUCUCCCUCCCUCCACGCCGCCAGAAGAAACUCAGGAAUGUAAAUAGUCUUUUGCUUGGUUGCCUGUAGGAAAUAGUGUACUGCAGUGCCCUCUGCUAGCCAGGCAUGCAUUCCCCCUGAGUCACCCCAUCGGGGUGCUACAAAUUACAAACAAUUGUGUCUCCAGGUGGGUAGGCUAGUAAAUUAUUUGUGGGCUCGCGCUUUCGUGGUCUUUCCCUCCCAAGACUAAAUCUGGAAAAACGUUUGUCAGCAAAUCAGAUCUUCCGCAUCCCAUGUGUUGGACAAGUAAGGGGUUAUUAUGUGGACUGGAGGAUGGUACGUGAUGUUAAGAGAAGGAAGAUGGCUUUUGAAUAUGCA